UUGACGGGGGCCCGCACAAGCGGUGGAGCAUGUGGUUUAAUUCGAAGCAACGCGAAGAACCUUACCAGGUCUUGACAUCCCGUUGACCACUGUAGAGAUAUAGUUUCCCCUUCGGGGGCAACGGUGACAGGUGGUGCAUGGUUGUCGUCAGCUCGUGUCGUGAGAUGUUGGGUUAAGUCCCGCAACGAGCGCAACCCUUGAUCUUAGUUGCCAUCAUUUAGUUGGGCACUCUAAGGUGACUGCCGGUGACAAACCGGAGGAAGGUGGGGAUGACGUCAAAUCAUCAUGCCCCUUAUGACCUGGGCUACACACGUGCUACAAUGGACGAUACAAACGGUUGCCAACUCGCGAGAGGGAGCUAAUCCGAUAAAGUCGUUCUCAGUUCGGAUUGUAGGCUGCAACUCGCCUACAUGAAGCCGGAAUCGCUAGUAAUCGCGGAUCAGCAUGCGCGGUGAAUACGUUCCCGGGCCUUGUACACACCGCCCGUCACACCACGAGAGUUUGUAACACCCGAAGUCG
rnacentral:rRNA from 1 species